rnacentral:tRNA from 1 species
UCCGCAGUGGUCCAGCAGCUAAGACUCUGCACUCCCAAUGCAGGGGGCGUGGGUUCGAUCCCUGCUCGGGGAA